rnacentral:rRNA from 1 species
UCGAGAAUCUUUCGCAAUGGGCGAAAGCCUGACGAAGCGACGCUGUGUGGACGAUGAAGGCCUUCGGGUUGUAAAGUCCUUUCGCGUGGGAACAAGAAAGGUUACCUAAUAGAUAGCCAAUUUGAGGGUACCACGUAAAGAAGCACCGGCUAACUCCGUGCCAGCAGCUGCGGUAAUACGGAGGGUGCAAGCAUUAAUCGGAUUUACUGGGCGUAAAGGGCGCGUAGGCGGGCUGUCAAGUCAAGUGUGAAAUUCCGGAGCUCAACUCCGGAGCGGCACUUGAAACUGAGAGUCUAUAGAGGGAUGGCGGAGAAAACGGAAUUCCACGUGUAGCGGUGAAAUGCGUAGAUAUGUGGAAGAACGCCAGUGGCGAAAGCGGUUUUCUAGCUAUUUCCUGACGCUGAGGCGCGAGAGCAUGGGGAGCAAACAGG